rnacentral:lncRNA from 1 species
CCCCUCCAGGCCCCGCCCCCCGGACUUCCGAACUCGCGACGCCCGCCCCUCAGCACGCCCGGGGGCCGCGCGGGGUCACGUGGCGGAAGUGCGGCCUCCCGCCCGCCGCGGCCGCUCGCUCCCAAACCGGAAGUUUAUGUGGUUGCCUGGGAGACCGGACGGGGCGCCCCGGGCGGCCCCGUGACACGCGCGGCGGAGCCCACGGAGGCCGGGCGAGCGGGCGCCCCGCGGCGGAGGGAGCGGCAGCUGCAGCCCGGGGCGCGGGGACGGUGAGUCAGUUAACAUAUAGCGUGGAACCGGCUUCUGGGCUUUUUCUGAGAGAAAUCGGUAGCGGCGGGAAGAUCCUGAGCAGAGGACUGACUGCACCUGACAGGUUCUGA